UACGAAGGGGGCUAGCGUUGCUCGGAAUCACUGGGCGUAAAGCGCGCGUAGGCGGACCUGCAAGUCGACUGUGAAAUCUCCGGGCUUAACCCGGAAAGGUCAGCCGAUACUGCGGGGCUAGAGUGCAGAAGGGGCAACUGGAAUUCUCGGUGUAGCGGUGGAAUGCGUAGAGAUCCGGAAGAACACCGGUGGCGAAGGCGGCCUGCUGGGCAGUAGCUGACACUGAGGCGCGACAGCGUGGGGAGCAAACAGG
rnacentral:rRNA from 1 species